AACGAACGCUGGCGGCAUGCCUAACACAUGCAAGUCGAACGAGACCUCCGGGUCUAGUGGCGCACGGGUGCGUAACGCGUGGGAACCUGCCCUUAGGUUCGGAAUAACUCCCCGAAAGGGGUGCUAAUACCGGAUAAUGUCUUCGGACCAAAGAUUUAUCGCCUUUGGAUGGGCCCGCGUUGGAUCAGCUAGUUGGUAGGGUAAAAGCCUACCAAGGCGACGAUCCAUAGCUGGUCUGAGAGGAUGAUCAGCCACACUGGGACUGAGACACGGCCCAGACUCCUACGGGAGGCAGCAGUGGGGAAUAGUGGACAAUGGGCGAAAGCCUGAUCCAGCAAUGCCGCGUGAGUGAUGAAGGCCGUAGAGUUGUAAAGCUCUUUUACCCGGGAUGAUAAUGACAGUACCGGGAGAAUAAGCUCCGGCUAACUCCGUG
rnacentral:rRNA from 1 species